UUCUAAAUCAAUCUCCAUCGUCGGAUCAUGCUGAAAUGAAAUCUGAGCCAUUUAAACUCCCAAAAAUAACCGAUAUGGUGGCGGUUUAGAGCAGUUCGGAACAGUUUUCUUAUUUGGUGGUUACCUCCUUAUUUCCUGCCCAUUAUCUCCACAACUCUAAGCUUCCUACAAACAUGGGUUUCAGCCUUAUAUACAGUUUAGGGCAGUUUCACACUCUCUCUCAUAGGCUCCUGCAGUUGGGACAGUUUACGUCCAUGAUGCACACGUUCUCCGCUACCUUUGCCAUUUUCUUCUUCCCAACCACCCUAUGCCAUCCAUUAUAAACCCUCACCAACAUCGUCAAAGUCUCCACGUUUGCUUUCUUCUAUGUAUUCGCGAAUCAUCCUUCUACACCCUAGACAUAAAUUUGAUGAAUCACCUCACUAUCGAUUCAACAGAUUUCAUGAUCAAGAACCAAUUGACGAUGACGCCAUUAAGGAUUGGACACCUUGUCGUCUUGGUGAUUAUUUCGAUCAAUAGUCAGACUCGGUUGCCUUUAUGUUCAAGGUUUUAGAUCUACAUUACUAUUGGGUUAUAUCGAGUCAAAAUUACGAUGCUGAUGGUGUUGGAUACUCGACACAACAAUGUCUUUAUCCCAGUUUAUAUUCCACAACACUCUUCGGUUAAGAUAAGCCGGCAGAAUCGUCAAUUUGACUCAAUUGACAUCUGCUUUUAGAUGUUCGGCUCACUGGUUUGAUGCCCUGAUUUUGACAAAUUGAAAUUGGUUCACCAAGUCUGAUGUGAAGGACAUUUGGAUUACCCGGAAAUACCAGCUGCAUCCAAAAGUGUAGCUUUACAAGAUCAUUUAUGCAUCACACUUUGGGCUUUUUCGAGAAAGAUGGAAAAAAGGAAAACUCAUACAGAUUCUUUCUGCAGAUUGCUUGUAUUUUUAUUGCACAUGACAACAUCUGCAACAUUUACAGCUAGCGAGUCAACCCGUUUAAAUUAUCUGUCUAAACGGGUAGCUGUCGAUUUUAGAAGUUUGGAAAUAGGUGGCUUCGUGGCUGCAGAUGCCACUUCCUUCUGGUCUGAUUUUAGUUUCAGAGUUGCUAAGGUUUGUUGCUGAGAUUAAGGCCUGCAAAAUAAAGGAAAAAGCUUGGGAAUAAGUGUCUUUAUUAACGUUUUGGAGGCUCUGGCUCAAUCGGAAUGACAAGAUAUAUAGAGGGGUUAUGCCUCCCCUCAAAAGAUGAUAGGUGAGAUUAAGGAAACUUCGUACACGUGGAUUCAAAAUAGAACCAAAUGGAGGCACAUGGAAUGGAACGCAUGCAGCAAAAAUUUUGUCUACAACUUGGAAAUCGGUCGAGGAACGUCAGUUUUGGCGAUAGAGUUGAGCAGACCCCCACCCUGCAAAAAAGGCCCUAUAUAUUUUACCCAAAUGAGGUUACUGAUCGUCCACUAGAUAAGUUGCGUUCCACUUUAAUAUUCUCCUUUUCCAUCAUACAUAACACAAUUCUGUAUUAAGUCUGAUUUCGGAGUUAUAUGACGAUUGCUAAUUGAAAUGUUGUUGCAUAUGGUUUUUUCUUUGUGCAGUAUACCUUCUACAUAUGGAGUAUUAUGGCACACGUGAUUUAUCCUACUGAGUCUUAUAUGUUGGUUUAUAAUGAAGAUUGGUAUAUAAUAAAGAGUUCAUGCAAGUGUCCCUGAAGAAAUUAAAAGAUUGUGUGAAACCAAAAAAAUAACUAUGUUUACAAUUUAAGUGGUAUGUUUAAAAAAAAGAAAUACAUAAUGCACGUUUGUUGAUAGUUCUUUGCAGGCAAAAACUAAUUUAGGCAUUUUAUGUAAGUUUUAAUUUUGAUGCCAAAGUGUGAGUUCCUUAGUAAUAAAUCACAUUGAUUCUUAUUCUUUUGCAUAAAAAAAACAACAUAAGUUAAAAGAAAAAUGAUGAUAUAGAUUGUUUACACUGAGCCUUUUAGAGUUAAUGUUCUUGCUCAAGAAGCUGCAGGGGUCUGGCUUUCUAUAUUGGCUGGUAAGACAUGUUUUUAAAUUUAAAUUGAUUAUUUCAUUUAUCUAGACCUGGCAAACAGGUCGGGUCGGGUUAUGGGUCAAAACGGGUCAAUUAAAAAACGGGUUGUUUUUGUUCGGGUCAGAACGGGUUUGGAUCAAAACGGGUUCGGGUCGGGUUGGUUAAAAAAUGUAUUUUUUUUAAGUAAUCGUACAUCAAGGGCCAAGGGUGGCUUUCACAGGCUAAAUGAGUGUUGUCGGUGGCCUUUGCCACCGACUUUGUAUUUUAAGUUAGUAUAGAAUGUCAUUCUACCGGGUUGACAUACAUAUAUGUCAAAUGAGUGGGGUCACACUAUUUUUUAUUAUAAUAUACUCUUAACUCAAAAUGUUCUUCAGUCUUCUUUAUAGUAUUAUAGUAUAUGAUAAUCUCAUUUUUCGUGACAUGAAUUUAUGUGUAUGGAAGUCAAUUGGUAACAUUGUUUUGUCUUUUUGCAGGGUAUUGUUAAUUUAUUAUUUGUAUCAUGUACAUGAAUUUCUAAAUAUCCCGCAGUAGAUGAUGCUAGAUGCACAUCAAAUUCAUCAUAUGUCCACAAUGCAGCAAGUCAGUAAGAAUCGAUGGUUGUUGAUGUGAACCAUGAGGUUGCCUUAGUAGUAGUAGACGAUGCCAAAAAUACACCAACUUUGACAAAUGGGCACCAUACAUCAAGUCAACAAGUCGAAAAAAGGUCAUCUUUGAGGUUAAAGAGAACGAUCCAAAAGCCAAAAAAAUUGAGGGAGUAAACCAUGUUUGACUGUUACAACACUUUUCCACAGUGUUGCAUACCGUUUACUUUUGCAUUAAAAUGGCACCAUUUCAUGUUUUGUCACUCUAUCACUUUUAUUUUAUAUUGUUGUGUGGUUGUACACUAUUCACGUUCGUUUUCCUUUUAUAAAUUAAAAAUGGUGCUUUUGUUUA